AUAAUAAUAAUAAUAAUAAAUAUUAUUAUUAUUAUUAUUAUUAUUAUUAUUAUUGUUGUUGUUAUUAGUAGUAGUAUUAUAAAAGCUAAAGCAGCAUUAAAUAUGACCCUACAUCCUCUUGCACUAUAGGAGGCAGUGCAGUGGAUUCACAACAUAGCGUUUGACAGUACAAUUUGUAAAAUAUCGUAGGAACCACCACAAAGCCAUUUGGCCAUGCCCACUGCACAAACCUAUUUGCGGUCUAGUUUCUUCAUUGUGCUACUGUGCACCAUGUUUAGUUUCUCUUCAUGUAGGUAUAAUUAAUUCUUCAACAAAGUAGUUCCACAAGGAAACUGCUUCCUACCUUCUCCUGCCAGUAGGUGACGCUGUGUUUUUGACCUCUCAUGGGCACAAGGAAUGUUGUAUUACUAUAUGGAUGUUGGGAUGAGCUAGAAAAUUAUCAAAAUUUUCACAUAAUAACUAUGCCAUCAAACAAUAACUGACUGUUUUCGGCACACAUCAAGACCAUCCCAAGGAUAUUCUGACAUAGGAUGAUAGAUUUGGGUAUGUUAAAUUAGUGCUGGACGAUAAUUCGAUAACAAUAUAUAUCGAUCGAUAGACGUGUGGUGCGAUAGAAAAAAAACGGGUCGAUAAAAAGUUCGAUAGAAAAACACAGUUUCCCUUUCUUUUUCAUCAUAGCCUAUCAUGUAGCUUUUACUACAGUCAUUACUUCCUCCCAACCAAUCACAAACGCAGACCCAGGUACGCUACGGCACCAAGCCCAGCCCCUAUCAAACCACAACAGACAGCACGUGUAUUAGAAAAAAUGAUACAGCAAGGAGAAGCGGAGGACAUUGUCCCGAAAAAAGGUUUCAGUAGUUCACCAGCAUGGCAAUGUUUUGGUUUUUAGAAGUCUGACAAAAAGCGAACAGCGGUCGUUUGCAAAAUUUGCAGAGAAUUAGUAAAAACGAAGUCUGGUAACACAACCAACUUGUUUUACCAUCUAAACCGAUCGCACCCGCAGGAGUACGAGCUGUGUCGGCCGCGCCGCGGCUCCACGUCAUCGUCGGAGGAAUCCUCUGGAACCGCUGCCAGCACCAGCACAAAGCAUGUGAAGCAGAUCAAACUGGACUUCGUUUCUUGCCAAAAUACGACAAAGCGUCCGAGCGGCAUAAGGACAUCACCCAUGCAGUAACAUGCUCCAUAGCGAGGGACAUACUGCCAAUAACUACCGUUGAAAAGCCUGGCUUCGACCAGCUUCUAGCCACUCUCGACCCGCGAUAUGAAGUGUCCGGCCGCAAGUAUUUCUCAAACACAGCGCUUCAGGCAUGAAAAUGGGUCAGGGGUUGAAAAGGUGAGAAGGGUGCGGAGGAAAUACGUUCCGGUGUAGCUUCUUAAAGUGGAAGAAAAUGAGCUCAUAUUUUACAAAGACGCGAGUAUUUGGAUCAUGGCUACUAGCAGGGGGUGCAUUCGGCAGGGGUGCAUUCUACGACACAACACCGGCGUGGAUAAGUCCUGCUUCUCGUGCUUAGUUUGUGUAUUAAGUCAAUCACAUGAUAAUUAAAAUAAAUCUCCCGACCCCGGGAGAAAUAUUUCAGUGUUCAGACACCAGGCUGUGGGCAGUUUCCCACACAGUUAAAACUGGUAGUAUGCUAUUCCCACCUAAAGCUAUUCUGUUUAUUUAUAUAUGUGUUUAUUUUCAUCAAAAGACUAUUUAAAUAUUUAUUUAUCAGAUUUUUUGGUCACUUUAGUCUUUAUGUUUGUCAGUAUUUACUGACGUCACUCAGGCCACUUAAGUUAAUUCCUUUUUUUUUUAGUUCUUUUUUAAAAAACUUUCAGUUGUGGUAAAAUAAAAAAGGUGGUUGAAUAAAGGUUUGAAUUUGAAUUCAGUGCUUGUGUGUUCUUUAUUAAAAGUAGGUCAUUAAGCAAUAGCAUAAAACAUCCAGGGCUGCAAUUAAAAUAUAUGUUAAAUAAUUAUAACAAUUAUAUCGAUAAUUAUCGAUAUCGAUCAAUAUGAUUUAUUUUUUAUCGAUAUACUUUUUUUCUAUAUCGUCCAGGCCUAUGUUAAAUAGUCUUGGAGCUUAGUUUUCAUUAUAGAGUGGAAGCAUGACAUUUCUAACUGUUAACAGAAGAGGGCAGUGUAAGGCCUGAAUACACAAAGUUUCCUGCUAACAAGGGUGUAAUAAAAGUAUGUGGUGAAAAAAUAGUACAGAGUAUACUUAAGGGCCAAAUAAAGGGUGAAAUAAAGCUUGUCAUGAGUUAGAGUUCUCAGAGUAAUUACAGGUUAUUGAAGGGUAUAAAACAGGGUUAAAUGAUAACUCUUAACACAAAGUUUACAAUUUUUUUGUGGAUGACUGCUUCAUUCAAUGCUUCACAUGAGAAAUAUGAAGGGUUUUUUUUUUUUCAUCAAUUAGAGAGGCUGAUAUGUAUAUGUACAGUCCUAUAAACCCCUUGUAAAUUUUUGGUCGCAUAUAAAUUAAUGUAUGAACUAACUGUUAACAAACAUCUAUCAACCAAUAAUAGUUGAAACACAUUCUUAUUACCUGAAGUCAUAGUAACUUGAUCAUUGGGUCAUAAUGAGCCACAGUAAUUUAUGAUGCAUCUCAGAUGAAUUCCUGCAGCUAUGUAUCAUGAGUUAUGUAUUACUUCAACAACAAGCAAGCAAUAAUUUACCCGAAAAAUGUGUACCCUUAAGGUAAAGUGUUACCAGUGUGCUUAAGCGUAAGUUAAGGGUUUAACAAAGAAACAAUAAGAAGUUAGUGAUGGGGAAAAUAUGGUGAGUUAAGUCUGUCAUAAAAGGUAUAAUAAAAGUUGCCCCAGAGAGUUUGAUAAAUUAUUAAUAAAGAGGGUUUAAAAAAAAAAAAAAGUUUAGUUAAAGAUUAAUAAAAGCUAUAAUGUUAGAUAGAUUAGUAGUUCUAAUAAUAGGCCUGAUAAAAGGUUAGUUGAGGGUGUAAUAAAGGGUAAAUCUGAGAGUAAGUUAAGGACACUUUAUACAUUCAGAUAGUACCAUCCUACUCCCAAUAAUUCCUCUUUGAAGCUUAAUAAGACUUCACAUUCUAAACGAGCAAUCGAAUGGGCAAUGAUGAUGGGCAAUGGGCAUGAUGCCUACGCCUAAAUCUAUGGUUUAUGUUUAAUUAAGAAUUCAUUUUUAUGUAUCUUAAAUAUGUAUGAUUAAAAGUUAUGAUGAACCAUAUUUCACACAAAUAGCUCUUCUCUGAGAUUGUAGAACUGAGGAGGUUUAAAAAAAUCACAGAAAAGUUACUAAAAUUUAAACAGUUUCGAAAUACAAAGACAGUCAAUCUGAUCAUUGUUGUGAAGUAUUUUUUUUUUAUCUGACACUUCACUUAUAGCCACAAAACAAUGCUUAUAAGCUCUCGUAAAUGUGUAAUGGGAUCAUUCAAUAACCUCCCACAUUGCUGCUACUUUAGUUAAAGCAACAAAGUCAUGCUUUAGCAUGUUGUAAGUGUCAAUAACACAAUGAGUUGAGAAUCAUAGAAAUGACAUAAAUUUUUUAAAUGCUAAAUGAAUGAGUUCUUCAGGAAUCUUUGUACUCAGAUAAGGUUAAUAGUCAAUAAACCCAAUAUCAAAAGACAUUGUUUUUUCUCUUUUGCAUCAAGGGUAUGGCGCAUCAUAAACCAUAGUGAGGAAUCAAGCUCACAGCACUUUCUAAACAUUGUUUUAGGCUUAUAUAAAGGCCUACCAACCUUUAUGAUGAUUGUUAUACAGCCUUACUUGUGUAUAUAUGAAGCUUUUUGUUUUAUGAUGCAUUAUAUGAGACAGGUUUACAUAUACUAGUGGUACCGAAAAUGUCAUAGGUGAAUACUUGGAAGUUAUUGCUUACAACUCAAAGUAGCAUACACUUAAAUAGUGCCAGAGUAAAAACACAAAUAUUAAACCCACCAGGGUACUUCCUAUAAACUUUUAAUUUAAGAUUUUUUGCAGUUUGCUUCAGCUGACUGUUGGUGCAGAUUUAGUAAAGAGUCAGUUUGUUUAUGGUGACUUUGCUCAGUUUUGUGAAAUACCAGUCUUAAAUACUACCAAAGAUACCACAUGAAAAAAAAACCUGAUUGAAAAGAACUACCCUUAAAAAGUAAAUUAACUAAUAUGACAUGGAUAGACGCAGUUAGUUGUUACAGCCCUUUAAAGUUCCUGUUGUGGGCCAAAGCAGAUGAUGAAUGGAAAGUAUGUGACUGAGCUGUAAUCAAGCAUC
rnacentral:lncRNA from 1 species